rnacentral:rRNA from 1 species
AUUGAACGCUGGCGGCAGGCCUAACACAUGCAAGUCGAGCGAGCGGCGGACGGGUGAGUAAUGUAUGGGGACUGCCCGAUAGAGGGGGAUAACUACUGGAAACGGUGGCUAAUACCGCAUACUAUCGGAUAACCCAUAUGGGAUUAGCUAGUUGGUGAGGUAAUGGCUCACCAAGGCGACGAUCCCUAGCUGGUCUGAGAGGAUGAUCAGCCACACUGGGACUGAGACACGGCCCAGACUCCGACGGAGGCAGCAGUGGGGAAUAUUGCGCAAUGGGGGCAACCCUGACGCAGCCAUGCCGCGUGUAUGAAGAAGGCCCUAGGGUUGUAAAGUACUUUCAGUCGGGAGGCGUUACCGACAGAAGAAGCACCGGCUAACUCCGUGCCAGCAGCCGCGGUAAUAC